GUCUGCUUUUCCUAAAACCUGCCCUCCAGCCUCUGCCGCGGGUUCUGCACAUACACAGGGGACUUGGCCGUGCACAGCUUUCCAUCUGGAAGCCCUCAUGUACACCAGAGUCUCCUUUCACAAAGUGCACAAUAACUUCAAAAAUGUUCAUCUCUACUCCAUUUUCUACUCCAGUCUCUACAGAGAUUUCAAAUUGCAUCAGGAGACAUCUUUUCUCCAGGAAGGCUCUGGCUACCUUGUGACACCUUGGAUGCUUCCUCUUUGUCUGAGUUUUGUCUGGAAGAAACUUGGAGAUUUGCUUUUCUUAAAAUUUGCUUGGAAAUUUGAGAUAACUAGCAACCUCUCCAUGAGACAGUAGUUCAAACUUGGUUUCCAAACAUCUACCAAACUGAGCCAUUUCUAAAGGUGAAUGUGUUGUGAGAUCAAUUGCUGGGCUUUUUAGGUUAAAAUUUCUCUCUUUUCACCCUAGCAAUCUGAAAGGUUUCUGUGUAGUCUGAACUAGUCCUCUUAAGGCAUCAGCAUCAAUGGAGACUUGGAUGCUUCCACUCUGUCUGUCCCUUCUCCCUCUCUGCCUGGAGAUGCCUUUCUCCCUGCAGUGCCCUAAGAUCUGAUCCCAGAAUUCCAACUUUUAGACAGCUGAAGUUACUUUGUCUUGCAAAGCAGGUUCUGAGAAGUGGCAAGUUUAUUUCUUGUAUGGAAAUCAACUGUUCCAGUGUAUGCGAAGGUACACUCACGCUUCUUAGAAGAACUGUGUUUACAUAUAUAAAUUAUAUAAUACAUGUUCAUAUCUUAAGUUGGAAUAUCCUAAAUAAAUAUAUGUAAAUCUAACUCAUACUGAUAAAGCUUUUCAGGUUAAAUCCCAUGUCAGUUGUGUGGUGUGGAAUCUAAUACAAGAUUAAGUAACCCUAUGCACUGUUUCCAUCAAACAUGCAGCUCAGUGACUAUAAAAGAAUGUAUGUACUAAAACAGAUGAACAACAUUCAUCUGUAAAAGCAAACUAUCCAGGAAUCUAAAACAAGAUACAGGGAUUUGUCUGCUCUGUUUUUUGGGUUCUAGUCAAUGACAUUCCAUGUGUCAGCUUGCUUGUCUGUCAUCAGCACAUACAUUGUGGCCAUGUCCCUUACCAAAGUGUAUGUUAGUCUUGCUUGCUCUGCAAAAGGUUUUUACAUUCACACCUUCAAAAAUGAUGUCUGGGCCUCCAUGAAAGUAAUCAGCUCUGCUUUUUCAUACCCACUAACAUCCUACAUCUUUAUCACCCCUACUACCAUUUUUUCAACACCGAUUCUCUAUUUGUAGUGCUGCUCAGAUAUGCACCUGCUUUUUCCCAUGCUUAAGGUCCCAGUCAGCAAAACAGAGCUAGUAACCAGGUGAAGAAAAGACUAACGCGGAGUCAUUCAGAGCAAUGCCUUGUCUUAAGGUGAGCAAAGCUUAAGAACUGAACCAGUUUAUCUCUGUUAGAAGCACCUGGAAUUUUAGGAACUCAGCAAAUUCAAAAACUUUGACCAUUGUUUUCUUCUGAGGCUGGGGAAUGAGGAUCCAGUCCUUUUCCCAGCUUUUUUUGUGGAUUCCAGUGUUAAUCUUUAAGCUCAUAUAGUAAGUAUUAUUAGUAACAUGCUUAAAUCAGUUUCAAGUGAGAACACAAAGGUUAUUGACUUCUGUGACACUUUCAGUCUUUAUGUAGCAACUUGGAUGGUUCAGAAGUUUCUUAAGAUCAUUUAGAGCAAACAGAAGCAAAAGCUUUUCCUUGAACACUUAGUCAUUAUUUAAAAGUUCUAAAGAUGUAGUGCAGCAUUAAAAAUCUCCCCAUCUUACAUUUUCACUUUUUGCCAGCCAGAAAUAUAUCUGCAAAUUCAGAUUCUCACAUCUACAUGCAAUAGGAGAAUGUAUCCAUGUGGUCAUUCCGCUGCACUGUUUUCUUGGACUUUGGCAUAUAAACACUAUUAAAAUAAUAGAGCAUGCUCCCUAUCACCUAAGACCUUAGUUAGAAGAGGGAUAUUUACUAUCAGUAAGUACUAUUCUAUGUCAUGAUCAAGUCAUAGCUUUGGUUAUUUUACUGACAGAAAAAGAAAUCAACACUACAUUUUAGAUAUUAUCAUUCCAAAUGUGCUAUAUGUGUGUUGUAUGUUACAUAUAUGUAAUGUGUACCUGCAACGAUAGAACUGACCAGGAAUGAAGUUCAAGGAUAAGGCAUUCAUAAAAACCUGGGAUGAAACAUCCAUAAUGUUGUGGUCUGUACUGAGGAAAGGGAGUGAGGUUUGUAACCUGAAGCAGGCUCACGGAAUCAGCUCAGGAAGAGCAAGGGUAUGUGGAAAAAUAAGGUACAUUAUUAGGAUUCCUGGCAGUAUGACAGUUAUAGUGUGACACCACCAGUUGAAGAUCACCUUCUGGCCUUUGCAUUUCCCAGAAUAGGGUUAAAGGGCCACAGCGUGAACAAGAACCAGAUCUGAAACCUUUUGUUUGCCCAUUAUACAUAGACAUUAAUGGCAUUGUUAGCUUUCCCACACCUGCUUAAGUUGUGUUCGUUCACCUCUAUACUUCUGGAAGCAUUUUACACUGCCGAACAUUUCAGUCUUUGAUUCUUUUUUAUGCCUUGACAAGAGCUUUCAGCACCUUUUAGAUAGCAUAUUUCACAAUAGGUAAUCAACAUGCUGAAGGCCAGCACCCAUGAGCUGAUGUUCACUAUGUUAAUUUAUAACUCACAGAUGGAGUCGAUACUGUUUAGUAUCUUUGUGGACAUCAACAGCGUGACUGAGUGCACCUCAGCUAGUUUGUGGGUGACAUCAGGCUAAGUAGUACAGUUGCUACAAGGAAGAUAUGCUGUUUAGAGGUACUUGAACAGGCUUGAAAAAAGUGGGCCCACUAGAUCCAAAUGAGGUUCAACAAGGCCAAGUGCAAGGUGCUGCAUUUGGAGCAGAACAAUCCCAGACCUGAGUACAGACUGGGAGAAUAACUACUUGAGAGCAGCCCAGCAGAGGACUUGAGUGUUCUGAUGGACAAAAGGCUUGAUACAGUCCCGCAGUGUGCGUUUGCAGCCUUGAAGGUCAACUGCAUCCUGCACAAGAGGGAUGGCAAGUGGGGAGAAGAAGGGGGUUGUCCCCCUUUGCCUUCAUUAGGUUCCAUCUGGAGUACCGCAUCCAGGCCUGGGGCCACCAGCCCAAAGGAGGAUGUAGAGCUGUUGGAGCAGGUUCAGAGGAGGCCACAGGGAUGAUCAAAGGGCUGGAGCACCCCUCCUGUGAAGACUGGCUAAGGGAACCAGAUAUGUUCAGUCUGGAGAAGGCUCUAGGAAGACCUCAUUGCAAAUUUCCAGUACUUAAAGAGCGCUUAUAAACAGCAGGGGGCCUGACUUUUUGUGAAGGCAGAUGUUGGUAGGGCAAAAGGGAACCAUUUUGAACUAAAAGGGAGGAGAUUCAGGUUAGAGGUAAGGAAGAAAUCCAUUCCACAGAGGGUGGUGAGGCACUAGCAUACGCUGCCCAGAGAAGCUGUGGUACCCCACUCCUGGAGGCACUCAAGGCCAGGUUGGAUGGGGCCCUGGGCAGCCUGAGCUGGUACAUGGCAGCCCUGCCCAUGGCAGGGCAGUUAGAACUAGAUGAUCUUUAAUGAUUCUUCCAGCUCAGCCAUUCUGUGAUUCUAUUGCCUUUCAGCCUAAUCUUAGCUAAAGAGAGGUUGUGAUUUAAAACCAUUAAGCCUGAAACAGGCAAGAGGCCAACCACCAUAUACCAUCAAUGCCACCAAGUAUACACAUUAACGAGGCCCAAGAGGGUAGUAAAAUAAAAUUCUGCCUUAAAAGACUCGUUUUUUUUUCCAUCAUAGGCUUUGCGUGUUCGUGAAUAUUUUGUCAUUUGCCCAAGAAGAUUAAUUAGAAUUUUGAGUGUUCUGUGUCAAUCAAACAUCUCCUCAAAUGUGUUGAUAUAUCUUUUUGUGAAUGAAGACCAGCCUCACUCAAAUGCUGUGAAAAUCACAAAAAGCACACCUUUUAUCCAUUGCGGUACUAACUGUGGUUUGGCUGUUCACUGUGGAGAAAGAAGACUGUUGAUAAGUUGAUGUAGAAGUGUUCAAGGAAGGAAACUUUCUGGAAGCAUUAUUGCUAGAUAAGGUUGCAGGAAACUGAAGCCUGUUUGCUUGGGUGAAAGGUAGGAUGGGUUCAGAACAGAACAACUGGCCUAAAAAUUAGUGGGAGUAAGGACAGGAAUAGGGUUAAGAAUCUUUGAGUAGGAUAAUCGCUAGGCAGAAAACAAGAAGCACUUAGAAAGUCAUGAGUGAUCAGAAAAUUACAGAAAUACCUUCUGUUGAAUUUCUUCUUUUUUGGUCAGGCUGUGUAAUUCAGGUGAGUAAAAAGGGAAAUUUUCCCUUUUUCUCUUGAUCAGUUCAUACUAAGAAUAUUCCUAUGAAGUCAUCAAAGCAUGUAUGCCAUUUCCUAUAUUGUUUCAUUACAGAUUACGGUAAUUUAUUCAGCAGACAAACAUGUUUAUCAUAUAGCCUCAAUCCAAAAGUGCCAAUUUUAGAUAAGGAAAAGUUCAAAGUGUACAACUAGAGAGGUAUCCUGCAAGCUACAGUCUAAUCAAGAGUGAAUCACCUCAGUUAAAGCAAUGUAGAUUAAAUUAAUCUAAUCAGGCCAUACUAUUAUUCCAGUUAAUACUUAUUUUACUUUAUCACUUUUGAUUUAUGAAGAAAAUGUGGCAUAUCUAGUCUCCCUAAGCAUGGACAACUCUAUCUGACAAUCUCUGUGAGAAAAACAAACCCAUAAGGAGUCAAAUGAGGUUUUAAGAGGCACUAAGCUUCUGUUCCCAAGCUUUAUACUUCUCCUUCACUUUACGAGUCAGCUAAAAUGCAGUAUGGCCUGAAGGUCAUAUUGCAGGGGCUAGUUUGAACUGAGUGGAAUAAAGACAUCUUUAAGCAAGAAGCCACCCUGAGAGUCAAUGGAAAGGCAGCCCACUCUCUUACCUGAACAGACACAAUGUGGGGAGAGAAGGGGAUUUGUAACAAAAUGUCUAGAUUGAAAUGAAUCACUGAAAAAUUAAAGGACAGUGGCACUGACCACUGACACCAGUGAGGCAAAAUGGAUCACCUGAGUGUACAGGUCAAGGGGAUCCUCUAGCCUAAAAUCCUGCAAGGCUUCCCAGUAUCUCCAGUGGUGUUUGGCAGACAUAGGAACUGCAUGGCACCACAAUACUUCCCUGAGAUAUAUGCUGGGUCCAGCCUGUACCCUAGCAGUAUGAUUUCAGCCUUUCACUGCAGACAGACAAGGUUUGCAAAGGGAUCCACUUGAAAAUGGGAUUUUCCACUUUUGUCCCCUCAGGUAAAAAUUACUGCAAAUAUCUUAUCCCAAAACGUAUGUCUACCCUCUUUCUGUCCAAGUAUUUAUUUUGCCCAGUAAAAGAUGAUAAUACUUAGAGCAUUCAUGUUGUCUCUUGUUACUUUUCUGCUUAAGCAUGACCCCUAGCUUGCCAUGAACCUCAGAGUGUGCCAGUCAUGCAAAGACAGUUUCAUACUCAGGAGGUGAGAAAGAUGCUGUGGUUAUUACUUGCCAUUUUUGUUCCUUCCCCCAGCCCAGUUAGUAAUGUAUCCACUGUUUUUGGCUGCCAUACAUGUGCAUUUCACACCGUUUGAGCUAGACAGAUUUCAAAUGAGCAGGCGGUAUAAUUCAUGUACAGCUAAUACAAGAGAGCUUCCUGUUUCAACUGUGCCCUGUUAACUCCCAAGAGCAUGUAUGCACUUUAUGCCAAGCUAUUUACCAAGUUAAUGAAAAAAAUACAUUGAGUGCUAAAAUGAGCCUCAAGCCUGUAGUAACUCAUUCAGAUAAGUCAUGAAUGUUGUCCCAUUCCAACGGGUUAGGAACAGCUUGGCAGGAAGGUAGUUUUCAGACAUUUAACAUUUAGUGCAUUUGUUUGGACUGAAAACUUUGACAUGAACUGUUUGAUGCUCCAGCCAAUGUUUUUUUUUUUUUUGUUUUUUUUUUUCUUAUGCUUAUAUACACAGGACAGCCAACAAAGGUAAAGAAUUUUUCCCUCCAUAGAGUUUUAAAAAAUAAAUAAAUAAAGGAAAAAAGAGAAAAAAGAAAGAAAAAAUAUCAUCUUGUAAUUAGCUUUGGUUUUCCUGGAAGCAAACUGAAUCAAAAUUUAUUUCAAAAAUGUUCUGAGGUUCAGCAUGCAAAACAGUUAAGUUUCUGUUUUUCUUGGCCCCUGGCAAGAAGUACCAUCUGGUACUUCACAGCUUUGGUUUCUACCUGUUCCCAAAGAACACAGCCUGUCCAUGUAACCGUGUGUCUUAGGAGGAGGAGAGAAUAAUAAUCCAGACUGCUUUAGUGAAAUCUGGACAAACAGAAAUUUCAGCACAAAUCAGGGCUGUGGAUUGAUGACUUGUUUGUUUCAUUGCAUGAGGAGCCAGGGUAAAAAUGAACUAUUUGUUUUCAUUUGAAACUCUAUAAAAAGUAACAGGAUUGAAGUAUUAUUGUAUGUAUGCUGGAAGACUGAAGCCCAAGUCAUCUGCUGCUGUUUUUGUCUCUAGGCCAUGCCUCACUUACCAGGAUGAAAUUCUUGGGGAAGUUUUUGGUCUCGUCUACACUCCGCUUUACAAAAGCAGUGCCAGUUUGUACUGUAUAACCAGCUGCGCUAAGUUACAUUCCAGGCUUGCUUCCCCCCUUCUAUAAGCUGAUUAUUAGAGAGUGCAGAGAGCAUAGUGACAUUUUACAACAAAGGAAAUAAGACUUAUCUGUAGUAGCAAGUUUUCCCCUUUUCCUCCUAAUUUUGAGAGAAGAAAUCACAGCUAACAAUAUCACAGGCAAUGUAGACAAAAGGGUUGGCAGAUAGGUACUCAGACACCGUAGUCAGAAAGACCCUAGCAAUGCCUUUAACUGCAGGACAGCUAAAGGCAAGUGCGGAAACAAGUUUAGUUGCAAAGUAAUGUAGAUCCUCCUGGUUCACAAAGGAAAGCCAGCUUUGUUCCUUUUUGCAGUCAGCACAUCACGGAGAAAAAAAGGAACUUAUCUGUAAAUCUCUUUAAAGCAUGAUCCCUAUGAGAAAAUAAAAAAGGAGGCAAAAACAAGCUACACUGAAGUAGAGGGGAGUUUUCAGCACGACAUCGGACUCUGAUUACUGAGGAUAAGCCAAACCUGUUGUAAACAAUAAUGCAGUAAUGUGAAGACACAUGCAAAAUUUGGAAGAAAAUGCAUGAUGUUCUCCAACUCAGACAUGUUUACAUUCCUUGUAGCUACCACAGAAAACUUACAUAAUCUUUUCUUAUACAGAUAGGUAACGAGGACUGGAUAAAGUUCUAGGCAAGUUUUCCUAGUAUGUUAACUAGAACUGAUUUCUGCAUUGAAAAAGAAACAAGAACUGACUGAAAGACAUUCUUUUAAGAGCCCCCAAAGUGCUAUACAUUUCUUUAAGAAAAAGUGUCUGACAGGCAAAUGUUUACAAAGUUAGAUCCAGCCCCCCUGCCCAGCACACAAAAAUAUCAGCCACAUACAUUACAAGCCUUAUAUUCAGGAGCUUACACUAGUGGAAAGACCAAACCAAGACAGCUUUUGCUGUAUCACUGUUAAACUGCUACAUCUCCAAGUUCACAAGAAGAUAUAAGCUUAUAAACAGAUUUUUCUUCUGCAGCCAGUUUCUAAAUUCUGAAAUUACUAAAACAAGGAAGAAAGAGGAAAAUAACCUACUCAUUAGCUUUCAUUUCCAGACAGUAUCCAAAGUACUGUUAAGCAUGUAUGCAUUUUUGACAAAUACCUCUUACCUGUAAAAGAGCAAUGUUCAGAUUCCUUACUAGAUGUUAUCGUCAUGACAAGUCAAACAAUCUUUUUUAUAAAAGGUUGGAUGUCUUUUCAAUAAAGCAUGUGUGUACGGUUUAAAAAAAUUAAA